rfam:Stegodyphus mimosarum contig27219, whole genome shotgun sequence.
GCCUUCGUGGUGUAGUGGUCAGCAUACUCGACGUGUAUUCGAGAGGUCUGCGGUUCGAUUCCCGGCAAAGGCA